GGACCUCUUCACCGGAGGUACCCCGCGCGCCCCGGCCCGCGGCGCUGUGUGUGCGCCCGCGCGACUCCCGCUCGGGUUGGACCCGGGUCCCUGGGGAGGCUGCUGGGCCGCCAGCCCCGCGCCUGGCUCCGCCGCCACCGCCCUCCGGCUCCGCCCCGCCCUCGCCUGGACCCCCAGCCUCGGGAACUCCCGAGUGGGAGUCUGUGGCCACACCCUCCUCCUUGCCCCACUACCCUCAAGUUUCUUGUCCUGGUCAUUACGGACUGUGCUGUUUGAGCAAUUUCCUCCGGAGGUGACUCCCCAACAGGUACUGUGCACUAGACUCCUGGCCUGCUCCCCAUUUUCACUCCCCUGCCCUUGCCUUUGGGGUUUGUUUUGCUGGGAAUCAUGCUUCUCUGCCUGGUGUAAAGAACAUCCUUCCCUCCUUGUGACCCCAUCUCCACCACUCCUGGGGGGGGGCUGUGAUUUGGGGGCUACCUCCUAUGGUGUGUGGGUUACUUGGGAACAUGGACAGAGGCUCAGGUGCCCGGAGUGGGCACCUAAAGAACAUUUGUGGUUCUUCAGUGUUCCAUUUUGAUGGUCUCUCUUUUAUGUCUCUGUUUCUAAGCCUGUUUCUGCUCUGGUUUAUGGUUUUAUGACUGAUUGGCCCUGCCCUGUGGAGAUAGGAAAAGAACAUUCAUGGAGGGAUUGGGGCAACUGGGGUAAAACUGGGGACUGAUGUAGGUAGUCCUCAGAUCUGAUACCGGAAAGCUUGAGAUUGGGAAACAAACAAUAUUUGUACUGGGGAGGACCAGGGUGGGUUGUGGGUAGGGCUGCAGAGAGGGUUCGGAUGGGCUGUGGGCCCCUUAAGGGGGUUCCUCUAGCCAUAACCCAUGUGCCUCACCCCAGAGGUCCCUGUUGGAUAUUCCACCACUGUUGCAUGAGGCUGAUCCCCUAAGGCACCUCCCGGCCUCUGGUUAAAGUGCCACCAUGGGGAUUGGGUGUCACACAUUAACUGGUAGCACCUUAGUGCCUGGCAGAGCCAGCCUGCCCUCUUUGUCAGACAAGCCCCAGGGCCCCAAGGGUCAGUUUCUGGUCAGUUUCAGGUCAGUUUCAACGGCAUUUGAAAAGACCUGAUUGGGGGAGGGAGUCUUCUAUGGGGACUCCCCUCUCUAAUGGGGGCCUAGGAGGAAGAGCCAAGG
rnacentral:lncRNA from 1 species